GACGAACGCUGGCGGCGUGCUUAACACAUGCAAGUCGAACGGAAAGGCCCUGCUUUUGUGGGGUGCUCGAGUGGCGAACGGGUGAGUAACACGUGAGUAACCUGCCCUUGACUUUGGGAUAACUUCAGGAAACUGGGGCUAAUACCGGAUAGGAGCUCCUGCUGCAUGGUGGGGGUUGGAAAGUUUCGGCGGUUGGGGAUGGACUCGCGGCUUAUCAGCUUGUUGGUGGGGUAGUGGCUUACCAAGGCUUUGACGGGUAGCCGGCCGGAGAGGGUGAACGGCCACAUUGGGACUGAGAUACGGCCCAGACUCCUACGGGAGGCAGCAGUGGGGAAUAUUGCACAAUGGGCGGAAGCCUGAUGCAGCAACGCCGCGUGCGGGAUGACGGCCUUCGGGUUGUAAACCGCUUUCGCCUGUGACGAAGCGUGAGUGACGGUAAUGGGUAAAGAAGCACCGGCUAACUACGUG
rnacentral:rRNA from 1 species